GGGGCUGUAGCUCAGCAGUAGAGUGCCUGCCUCACACGUAUGAGGCACUGGGUUCAAUUCUCAGCACCA
rnacentral:tRNA from 1 species